rnacentral:rRNA from 1 species
CCCUUAGAUGUCCUGGGCCGCACGCGCGUUACACUGAUGCAUUCAACGAGCUUAUAACCUUGGCCGAGAGGCCUGGGCAAUCUUGUUAACGUGCAUCGUGAUAGGGAUAGAUUAUUGCAAUUAUUAAUCUUCAACGAGGAAUGCCUAGUAAGUGUGAUUCAUCAAAUCGCGUUGAUUACGUCCCUGCCCUUUGUACACACCGCCCGUCGCUCCUACCGAUUGAAUGUGUUGGUGAGGAGUUCGGAUUGGCAAUGGGCGGUGGUUUUCCACUGCCUAUGGCUGAGAAGUUCUCCAAACCGCCCCAUUUAGAGGAAGGAGAAGUCGUAACA